UUGCUAAGCUCCCAUUUUCCCUCUCCUUUCUCCGAACACUUUCUCCCCCCUUCCUUGUCUUCUCUCUUCUUCUUCCUCUUCUACUUCUUCACGAAUCAAAAACCCUAAUGGUUUCUAUAACUCGUUCUAUUCUCUCUCUCAGUCUCCUUCCCUGCGUCUUCAGAAACCUUAGCCUUGCAACCACUCUCCUUUGCUCUUAUCUCUUGGAAACCCCAAAAAUCCCCCUCAUUUGAUCAUAGCUUUGCAACCCGUAAGUAAAACCUGAAGCCCCAGAUUUCCUCUAUUCCUUCUUUUUCUCUAACUCCACCUCUACUUGGUCUUAAGGACUCGUUUCCUGUGAUCUAAAGGUCUCAUUCCGCUAAACAAUAAUCGAACCUGGUUUGCAUUUCAUGGCUUACUCUCUUCUUCCACAAGGCUGAAGUUCAAGGCUUGGGUGGAAACCGAACACCCGAGGAGAUUCACAGGCCAUCAAGGAAAGUUUCUUCUAAUUUUCAGAUCCGUUUGAGGGUUUCGAAACCCCGCAAGAUAAGUACUCUUAUUUCCCUUUAGUUUUACAAUUUUUACUGUUGUAGUGUGUGGGAUUUGAGCGCCAGAAAGUGUUCAAAUCUGUGUGAAUCUGAAUUGGGGAACAAGAGCCUAUGUAUUUGGGGUUUGUGCAUUUACUUUGUGAAUUCAAAUCUGUAGAGAUUUGGGUGGAGAUUAGGGCUUUCAGAUCAGGGAUGAAGACGAGUUCAAUCCCCCUUGACUAGGUGGGUGAGUGCAGGGUUGACUUGUGCGAGUCAACUCAAUGAGCGUGUGUGUAUUGAUUUGAAUGAACUCGAGUGAGUUUAGUGAACUAAAUCGGGUGAGUGGGUUGGCGCGUGCCUUAAGCAUGUGCAGGUUCUGAGAUUUGGGCAUGAGCAGGGGAACUUCCAAAAUGGACCUGAGUUUAUAAACGGGUCGGCUUUCUAUUUUUUACAAAAGAACCGAGUUUCUUUAAAAUAAGGUAGGCCUGCUUCAGAUUUUAAAAACACAACCCAGGUUCAUUUAAAAUGGGGUUGGCCCAAGUUAACGGGUCUAAAGACGAGUGGGCUUGAUUUUAAAAGAUCAGUGAGCUGGGUUAAGUGGGCUUAGGAUUUAAAAACAAUGGGCUUUAUUUAAAAACAUGGAUGGGCAGGGGAGUGUUCGAACGCUACUUGAUGGAUUAAGCUAAGAUAGGCUGGCUACGGUCCAUAUCCAAACGAGUAAAUAGGCAUGGGUUCAGGGUUUAAAACAGAGCUCCUGGGUUUAAGAGGGAGCUCGGGUACAGGUUAGAUAGGUCAAGAUUGGUAAUCUGGAUAUGGGGGAACUAGGUCACCCAAAUGGGGAUUCAAGGUCUAGAGAAAUGGGUUUGGGUUUUAAGCUCGGGGAGGUUUUCAAAUAGUUUCAAGCUCGAAUUAGGGUUCGGGUUAGAAUUUCAGGUUUGAACUUGAGACUCAAGAAGGGGAUCUGAACCUAACUCAAGUUUUGAAUUUAGUUGUGAGGAUAUGAGUAUCAAGGAAAACGGACCCAAAGUCGAGUUUGGGCCAGGGCUUUAGCUAGCCUGAGUAUUGGUUUAAUUGAGAACCCGAAGACUGGGGAGGGUACUUGCAUUCAUAAUUAAGUGGAAAUGCACAGGAAUUAUAGAAAUGAUAAACAAAAGGGGGAGGUAAUAGGAUUUCACCUAAGGACCUUACUCCUUCGGUCUUAUUCUCCAUCUCUCUGUGUCUGUCUAAAUGAACUUCUGAGUUUGGUGUUUGAUUGUGGUUCUCUGACCUCUGCAAUUCUUUCUGCUCUCAAUUUAGCAGAACCUUCCCCUCUUUCUUUUUGAUUCUCUUUCUCAAAUUCUAUAAAAUCCCCCUAUCUUUCUAAUUUAUCUCCCUCUCUUAAAGCUUCUACAAAUUUUCUUGGCUCUUUUUUUCAAUCUCUUUGUUUUUUCUAACCUCUACAGAGUACUUUUAUACUCUCAGUGUGUCUAAAAACUGGCAGAGUCUCCCCUAUUCUCUAAAUUUUUUCUUACUUCUCUCAAUUUCACCAAGGUUUCACUUCUAUCUCAGGGGUGUCCUUCUACAGUGUGCGAGCCUCCCUAUUUAUAGGGAGUCUGGGGUGCAUUUUGGUGCCAAUUCCCUAUGCAAUUCCCCACUAACGGUCUAUUAGGGAAUGAUUCUUUAUGAUUGCAUCUGAUUUCCUUUAUUAUUAUUUUUCUUUUCCUGCUAACUAACCAUUCCAACUUUCCAUUCUAUGCGCAGGUGAACUUUGGGGGAAUCCAGGUGGCAUGUAGGGAUAGGAGGGCUUGGAAUUUUGUCCAGGUGACUCUCAGUUUGGCCAGGUGGCGCUCAAAGAGAGGAGAGCUUUUAGGAGUUCCAGGUGGAGAGUGGGAAUUGGCGGGGGAUAGGAAGGCACUUCCAUAUGGCUGGCAGGGAUAGGCUCAACAUUUUUGAUUUUGUAUUUCUUUCUUGAUGUAUGUGUACCGUCCCCAUGUUACCCUUUUAUCAUUCUUUUCUGAUGUAUGUGUAUCAAUUUUGACCAUUUAUUUGACUAAUUUUGACCUUAGUCAAAUAGGAAAUGACUUUAAUCCUUGAAUGAUGUUGACUUUUAAGAACAAGACCCAAUCCGAGAAUGGAUAGAGACUAUGGUUAAUUUA